GGGGAAUUUUGGACAAUGGGGGCAACCCUGAUCCAGCCAUUCCGCGUGAGUGAAGAAGGCCUUCGGGUUGUAAAGCUCUUUCAGCUGGAACGAAACGGUGCGCUCUAACAUAGCGUGCUAAUGACGGUACCAGCAGAAGAAGCACCGGCUAACUACGUGCCAGCAGCCGCGGUAAUACGUAGGGUGCGAGCGUUAAUCGGAAUUACUGGGCGUAAAGCGUGCGCAGGCGGAUUGUUAAGCAAGAUGUGAAAUCCCCGGGCUUAACCUGGGAAUGGCAUUUUGAACUGGCAGUCUAGAGUGCGUCAGAGGGGGGUGGAAUUCCACGUGUAGCAGUGAAAUGCGUAGAGAUGUGGAGGAACACCAAUGGCGAAGGCAGCCCCCUGGGAUGACACUGACGCUCAUGUACGAAAGCGUGGGUAGCAAAC
rnacentral:rRNA from 1 species